GUGCUCGCUUUGGCAGCACAUACACUAAAAUUGGAACAAUACAGAGAAGAUUAGCAUGGCCCCCGUGCAAGGAUGACACACAAAUUCAGGAAGCAGUCCAUAUUUUU
ensembl:snRNA U6 U6 spliceosomal RNA